rnacentral:lncRNA from 1 species
CAGGUGUAUUACAGAAAUUUAAAUGGGAAAAUUGUAUGACAAUAGACAGAAGGUCUUGGGGAUAUCGCAGAAAUUCCAACAUCGAAGACUAUCUGAGUGUUCAUGAUAUCAUUUCAACUUUUGCGUCUACAAUCAGGCAAGUAAAAUAUCACCAUGGUAAGACUGUUACUACUUAUCUGGACUCCGAUUACCAUUUACUAUUUCUUAUCUGUUUCAAAAUGAAGUAUAUGGACCAGAAACUUUAUAACAAAAGUAACCAAAUAAACAUAAGGCGCACGUGUUCAUAUGUAGACAUAGUCGAUGGUCAAUUAUAGUAUUACUGCUUAUAUAGUACAAGAUCUUUCAUCACAUUUUAAGGGUUUUUUUUUUUAACAUCUGACCUUCAAAUAAUAAACAAUUAAAAACGACGACAGUCAUAGAGAAUGUUUGUGGUUGUUGAAAAUCACACAAACAUGUUUAAGGGUAUAUAUAAAUUGCAGGUUCUCAUCUUUUUUCAAUUUAUUAUCUGCUUUUUUGAAUAUUACUUCCAGAAGAAGUCCUCGUAAUUGUGAUAAUUGAAUUAAGUAUACGUUUUAACAAAUUUAUGAUUGCAUAUACUUAAUGCAAUAGUUUUCAGCCAUUCUUUUCCGCUGAUAACUAUUAGAACUUUUGAUGAAUGUUGAACUAAAGCGAGUGACUUUUCCUAUCCAUUUAUUUGAUUUGAGUGUCUUGAUGGUCAUGGGGCACUUAUUUUAUUUGUUUAUAUGUCUUACUUUAAUUUGUAAUGCUUGUUUGGCUGAAGCGUUUUUUUUUACAAGUGUGGUUAGGGAAUUCAAUGAGAAAUUUAAACACCAAAGAUAGGAACAAACGAACAUCAUCAUUACCAUCAUGGAUAUGAUGGAGCCUUAGUUAGUGAAAUUGCAAUUGUUUUAUGAAAAAGUCUGUCAUGUUACUGCCUUCGACUGUUGUUAUCUGCACUUUUUAUCUCGUUAAAUGAGACGUUUUGUAAUGAUCUUUAGGAAGUAAUUUUUCAAUUUUAUAAAAUGACUAAAUCUUCCUUUUGUGGCAGUUGCGGUGGUAACAUGCUGAUGAAUGUAGGGCCAACAAAAGAAGGGAAAAUCAUGCCAAUAUUUGAAGAAAGACUACGUCAGUUUGGCCAAUGGUUGAAGGUCAAUGGAGAGGGAGUUUAUAGCACGGUCCAUGGAGUCACCAGAAAGAUACAGUAACCAAAAAUAUAUGGUAUAAGUAUUAUUAAAUUGUACUACAUAACAGAGAACAAGAAAUACAAAAGACAAAUUAACGACUUGAAUAUUCAUUCGAAUACAUUGAUAAAUUUUAGCAAGACAAAAAGAAGUAACAGAACCGUAAAAGGGGAAAGGUAGAGGAUCGAUAUAUAUAACGGGAGCAGUUGUCAUUCCGAAUUCCUGAAAGAAAAAUAAAGAAUAGCUGAAUCCAGAAUUCCCGGGAAAAAAUCAUUCUUUUCGGAUCCUCAAGAAAAAAAACAUCAUUUAUUUCCGAGACCCGAUAAGUGUAAACCGCGAAUUCCCUAAAAAUCAAAAGCCCAAUCCCGACGUCGCAAUCAAAAUUCCUCCACGCCUGUUGUGGUAUAGAUGUCUUCUAUUAAAAAUGUCUAUUUUUUAAAUUUCAAGAUAAAGUUGAAUAUAUUUUUUACUGGUUUAUUCCUUUCCUGCUGGCAACCAAAUGAUUGUUGAAUUAAAAUUUUGAAUAAUGGCAAAAAAAAAACAAUUGCAUGAGCAUCGUAAAAUACUAAGACAUAAAUGAGUAAAUCUUUUGGCUCUCUGCAUGAAUGAUACACUUGAUUUAUGAUUGAAUGAAUCUCUUAGAUAUGUUGUUUUUACAGGUAUACUAAACGGGAAAUGGAGAGUGAGGGAACUGUAGUUUAUGUAUUUCUUCUUUCUUGGCCUACAGACGAAGUUUUGAAAUUAGGAGCACCGAUCCCUUCACAACAGACAGAGGUCAGCAUGCUCGGUUACCCAGACAAAUUUAUCUGGAAAGCUGGCACAGGAGGCCAAGGAAUUAAUGUCACUAUACCAAUUAUACCGUGGAACAAACUACCAUGCGAAUGGGCAUGGCUUCUUAAGCUAAGUCACAUAACAAAUUAGACUAUAAGGUGUGAUUGAUGCUUGGUUAGGAUAUGUGUAAUCAUGUAAAGAAUACGUGUGCCAUAAACAACAAUUGUCAUAAGAGCAUAAUACAAGUCUUUAAAUCAUGACUUUGUUUACCAUAGUGCUUUCAUGAAACUCUUUUGUCACAUCAAGAUUACGAAACUUUUUCGAUUGAAAAGUCGAAUGGAUAACAUAUUUUCUUUUUAAACCAUGAUGUUUAAUAUAUUUUUAUAAUGUUUCAUUGUUGCACUUAUUUUGUGUUUUUGCCCUGCCAAUAUUUAUUCCAUUCAUUUAUUUCCGUGCACCAUGUAUACUUGAAACGAUUUGUCUGUGAUGAAUUGACGCAUUUGAAUCUCAGUUUAUAUACUUUCCUUGUGAAAUUAAUCAUUGUUAGUGCAUAAAUAUUUGUCUGUACAUUAUUGUAUAUUGUCUAAAUGUAUUAGUUACUAAAUAAAAUAAAAGAGGGUGUCUCCAUAUCUCGACAAUACUGUUUUUAAGGUUGUUUUGAUUAUUAACAUUUCUAAUAUUGACAUUAAUAUUUCUUUUAUUUCUAGCAAUGUGCAAUUUACUAUCCAUAUCUGUAUAAUGAAUAAUUAUCAAUUUGCAGUUUUCUAUCCAUAUCCGUAUACUGAAUAGAAUUUGUCCGGCGGCGUUAUCCAUGGUUAAUUAUAAGAACUCGGUUUGACUUAGCAGAUUAAAAUUUUGUUUAUAAUUAUUGUUCAAAUCUGUUUCGUAUUUCCUGUCUAUUUGUAUAACAUUAUUAACAUUUCUAAUAUUGGCAUUACUAUUUCUUUUAUUUCUAGCAAUUUGGAGUUUACUAUCCAUAUCUGUUUAAUGAAUAAUUAUCAAUGUGCAGUUUACUAUCCAUAUCCGUAUACUGAAUAGUUUUUGU